AGUGUGUGGCUCAGUGUUAAAGCACUUGCCUAACGUGCAAGGUCCUGGGUUUGAUCCCCAGCACUGCUA
rnacentral:tRNA from 1 species